GUGGGGAAUAUUGGACAAUGGGCGCAAGCCUGAUCCAGCCAUGCCGCGUGAGUGAUGAAGGCCCUAGGGUUGUAAAGCUCUUUCACCGGUGAAGAUAAUGACGGUAACCGGAGAAGAAGCCCCGGCUAACUUCGUGCCAGCAGCCGCGGUAAUACGAAGGGGGCUAGCGUUGUUCGGAAUUACUGGGCGUAAAGCGCACGUAGGCGGGUAUUUAAGUCAGGGGUGAAAUCCCGGAGCUCAACUCCGGAACUGCCUUUGAUACUGGGUACCUAGAGUAUGGAAGAGGUAAGUGGAAUUCCGAGUGUAGAGGUGAAAUUCGUAGAUAUUCGGAGGAACACCAGUGGCGAAGGCGGCUUACUGGUCCAUUACUGACGCUGAGGUGCGAAAGCGUGGGGAGCAAACAGGAUUAGAUACCCUUGUAGUCC
rnacentral:rRNA from 1 species